AACUUACCAUUGGAGCGGCAUCCUUUUUCUUGCGAGGGAUUAAAAGCGGAGGCGAAAAAGAUAUAGCGGAAAGCAGGUUCCCGG
rnacentral:misc_RNA from 1 species